GACGUAGGGCGCGAGCGUUGUCCGGAUUUAUUGGGCGUAAAGAGCUCGUAGGCGGCUUGUUGCGUCGACUGUGAAAACCCGGAGCUCAACUCCGGGCCUGCAGUCGAUACGGGCGGACUUGAGUGUUGCAGGGGAGACUGGAAUUCCUGGUGUAGCGGUGAAAUGCGCAGAUAUCAGGAGGAACACCGAUGGCGAAGGCAGGUCUCUGGGCCGAUACUGACGCUGAGGAGCGAAAGCGUGGGGAGCGAACAGG
rnacentral:rRNA from 1 species